CUCAUCUUCUCAUCGAGCCGUUAUUCUGGAGCAUUUCCCCUCCAUCAUCUGGAACCCUAAGUGAAAACAUAGUUUGGACUCCUUGAAGCUUCCUCCAUGAGUAAACACAACAGAAUGUAAGAACAACGGUGAACAGUGAGACGACGACAGAUUCGAUGAAGGACCUUAGCAAGAGUACUCCAAAGAGGAGGAAUGCGUCUGGAAAACCCUAGGUUCGUGAUAAUACUCUAGGAGCAGGAAGGAUUCGAAGCAGAGUGGAAAGUAGGAAGAUUGUUCGGUGAUAAAUACGAUUUAGGUCGUGUGUUCGGUGAAACGGUGCCAAAAUGAGGAUGUAAUCAGUGGAUUCGGUGGAGAAGGUUGUAACGAGGACGAAUCAAGUCGCAAGAUGUGAUUCAGUGAUGUGAAUCACGAAGAUGAAGGCUCUGUGAGAGUGAUGAGGAUUGUUGUGUGCAAAUAUAAAGUUGUGAGAUGGAGGAUCGUGAGAAACCCACG
rnacentral:sRNA from 1 species